AGAGUUUGAUCCUGGCUCAGGACGAACGCUGGCGGCGUGCCUAAUGCAUGCAAGUCGAGCGGGCUACGAUCUUCGGAUUGUAGCUUAGCGGCGAACGGGUGAGUAACACGUAGGUGAUCUACCCUUCAGAGGAGGACAACCUCAGGAAACUGAGGCUAAACCUUCAUACGUUCACUGGUAGGGAUACUGGUGAAGAAAGAGUUACCGUUGAGGUAGCUGCUGAAGGAUGAGCCUGCGGCCCAUCAGGUAGUUGGUGAGGUAACGGCUCACCAAGCCGAAGACGGGUAACCGGUCUGAGAGGAUGUCCGGUCACACUGGGACUGAGACACGGCCCAGACUCCUACGGGAGGCAGCAGCAGGGAAUCUUGGGCAAUGGGCGAAAGCCUGACCCAGCGACGCCGCGUGGAGGAAGAAGUCCUUCGGGGCGUAAACUCCUGGACUGGGGGACGAGGAAGGACGGUACCCCAGUAGAAAGGGACGGCUAACUACGUGCCAGCAGCCGCGGUAAAACGUAGGUCCCGAGCGUUGUUCGGAUUCACUGGGUGUAAAGGGCGCGUAGGUGGUUGUCUGUGUCUCAUGUGAAAACUCAGGGCUCAACUCUGAGAUUGCGUGGGAAACUAGGCAGCUAGAGGACGGUAGAGGGGAGUGGAAUUCCCGGUGUAGCGGUAAAGUGCGUAGAUAUCGGGAGGAACACCGGUGGCGAAGGCGGCUCUCUGGGCCGAUCCUGACGCUGAGGCGCGAAAGCUAGGGGAGCGAACCGGAUUAGAUACCCGGGUAGUCCUAGCCGUAAACGAUGGGUGCUAGGUGUUGGGGGGGUAAAGACCCUUCAGUGCCGAAGCCAACGCGAUAAGCAUCCCACCUGGGGAGUACGGCCGCAAGGUUGAAACUCAAAUGAAUUGACGG
rnacentral:rRNA from 1 species